rnacentral:rRNA from 1 species
GANAGCGUGGGGAGCAAACAGGAUNAGAUACCCUGGUAGUCCACGCNGUAAACGAUGUNGANUUGGAGGUUNGUGCCCNUGAGGCGUGGCUUCNGGAGCUAACGCGUUAAGUCGACCGCCUGGGGAGUACGGCCGCAAGGUUAAAANUNAANNGAAUUGACGGGGGCCCGCACAAGCGGUGGAGCAUGUGGUUUAAUUCGAUGCAACGCGAAGAACCUUACCUGGUCUUGACAUCCACGGAAGUUUUNAGAGAUGAGAAUGUGCCUUCGGGAACCGUGAGACAGGUGCCGCAUGGCUGUCGUCAGCUCGUGUUGUGAAAUGUUGGGUUAAGUCCCGCAACGAGCGCAACCCUUAUCCUUUGUUGCCAGCGGUCCGGCCGGGAACUCAAAGGAGACUGCCAGUGAUAAACUGGAGGAAGGUGGGGAUGACGUCAAGUCAUCAUGGCCCUUACGACCAGGGCUACACACGUGCUACAAUGGCGCAUACAAAGAGAAGCGACCUCGCGAGAGCAAGCGGACCUCAUAAAGUGCGUCGUAGUCCGGAUUGGAGUCUGCAACUCGACUCCAUGAAGUCGGAAUCGCUAGUAAUCGUGGAUCAGAAUGCCACGGUGAAUACGUUCCCGGGCCUUGUACACACCGCCCGUCACACCAUGGGAGUGGGUUGCAAAAGAAGUAGGUAGCUUAACCUUCGGGAGGGCGCUUACCACUUUGUGAUUCAUGACUGGGGUGAAGUCGUAACAAGGUAGCAAUCACUAGUGAAUUCGCGGCCGCCUGCAGGUCGACCAUAUGGGAGAGCUCC